rnacentral:guide_RNA from 1 species
AACAAAACCGCCAUAUAUUACAGUGAUUUUAUAGU